rnacentral:rRNA from 1 species
UUUCAACGGAGAGUUUGAUCCUGGCUCAGGACG